CACUUCAUAGAUUACAAGCAAUUAAUUUGGUUAGGUUUCUGCAACCAUGAGCAACUUAUCUGCAAAAUGAUCUUGGAAGGUUGGAACAAAACUUACUAUAGUGAGUAGAUGAUCAAUCCAAUGGCCACAACUGUGAAUGCUAGAUAGUACAGCCAGUUUAUCUGUGGGUUGCACCUUAAGUAUGUGAACAUAUUGGGUAAUACAUUAUGUUAUAAUCUGGCACAAGUAUUUUUGGUGAUAAAUUUCCACCUGCUGAUGAUAGAAUAAAACUCGAAUAGCGACUGCCCACAUGUCAGAUGUUAAGAGUGAAAGGUUGAACAAUGUUGCUCCACUCAUCUGCAGAAAGGGCAUAAGAAAAAGGGCUAAACUAUUAUUGCAGUGUGAAAUGACAAGUAGAGGUCUUUCUUCUGGCUGAUACUACAUAUUAGCCAAUAUGAAACAUAUUUUCUUUAUUCUUAGUUUAUUCAAAUAAUUCAUAACCACUUGACAGGGUCUAAGUUUCUUUUGUUUCAUCCCUAACAUAGUAAGAGGUUUUUUUAAUAAUAUUAUUUUAUUGGAAAAUUGCAAAAAUAAUAGCCAAAUUCACAAAAUUGCAAUAAUAGGUAUCUGUCGGCACUCUAUGUACCGACUUACUACGUGGCAGUGGGUCCGGGGACCUGUCGGCACGCGUGCAAUGAGUCUGAGGGCCUGUCGGCAUUUGCCUACAGAUACUAUGUUUCGCAGACGAUAUUCAAAGAAAAAUUUAUAAAUUUUUGAUAUGAUCUCGGAUGGAGAUGAUAUUUAUAUGUAAAUUGUAGCUCUCGAUGAGAUCUACAACUUUCUAGUUGAACACUUUUCCAUUUCAAUCCGUUUCGAUGCCCAAAAGAUGGCAGAAGCUCAAGAUCUAGUUUUUCAUAUCUGAAAUUUAUAACCACUUUUUGUGCAUCUAAACGGAUUCAAAUAGAAAAAUGUUCACUAGAAAGUUAUAGAUCUCAUCAAGAGCUACAAUUUUCAUAUAAAAAUCAUCUCCAUCCGAGAUCAUAUCAAAAAGUUAUGAAUUUUUCUUUGAAUAUCGUUUGUGUGACAUAGGACACUGCCGGCACACGGAGUGCCGACAGGCCUCUUGGCACACUGCUACGUUGGAUGUCGGCACGUGGAGUGCCAACAGGUACUAGUCGGCAUUUCACGUGCCGACAGGUAUCUAUUCUUGCAAUUUUGUGAAUUCGAUUAUUAUUUUUAAAAUUUUCCAAAAAAUACUAUUAUUGAAAAAAAAUCAACAUAGUAAAAUGUUAGAGAUACUUAACCUUGAGAACAAAAGGAGUAAUUGUGUAGAACAUGAAAAUUGCCACUGCAAAUCCUGCGAACAGACUUAUCUGGAAAAAAUGGAAGACAAAAUCAGGAGUGAGUUAAUUUCCAGUUAUUCAAUUCAAUAAUGGCAGAUAAAAGAGUUUCAUUUCUUACCAUUGUCGGAGACCAGGUAACUGCUUCUAGGCUCUUCCUUUCACAUAUAAAUCUAAGGUUUAUCAGAUUAAAGGUAACAUGAAUAAUUUUUCCCAGAAGAUUAUAUAGAGAGCAAUUUUUGUUCCAGACACAUUGUGUUGAUAGUUAAUUAUGUAGGAGCGAGAGCAAAGCUAUAGAUGUAUCAUGUCAGUUUUCUUUACAGGCUAUAAAAAUAAUGAACAAUGGAGAGGAUACAUCUGAACUAUACUGAUUAGCAACCCAAAGGAUCCAAGCAUUGCAACAACUUCAACUCGGUCUUUCUUUUUGACACAGUACUCCUACACAUACAAGGAAAAUGAAAUGCCUUUUAGAAAUAUGACAAAAAUAUUGCUGAUAGCAGUAGUGAUAUAUAAGGCAUAAUUAACCUCCCCAACAUUGCUAAAUGCAAAACAAACUGUCCUGGCAAUAACAAGGGCAUCCCCCAGAAGUGGUAUUUUACUCGGAUCUGCACUAAGUUAAAUGUUUCAUAAGAUGUUAAAAAUUUAUCUAUUUUUUCUAUGGAAACUGGAAAAUGGAUUUCAAUUCAUGAUGCUCUUAAAAUCAUGUUUUCAUUCACAUCUGUUUAUUGACAUUUUAGGUACCACUAAAACUGGUAUCCUGGUUGUUCUUCUGUCAUGAUUUAUUUUAGGGGAGAUGGAAGGGACAGUCCUACCACUACCAUGAAUUUUCCUGUUCUCACCUACUUACCUUGCUCUGGAGACUUCGCAUCUGAAAGGAGCACAAGGGCAAGCCCCGCCACACAUGUCCCUGCCCCCACAAACUGCCAGAUCGAAUAUCUUGUGCCCAGUGCGUACCAGAUGUUUAUCAGCAGUAGCAAGAAGAAUCUAUCAGAAUUACAUUGAGUAUCUCACUGGAAACUAUUGGUGGUAUGGACUCAGUGCAACUGUGUGGUGCCUAUACUCACCAAGAUAAUUCCCCUGGACAUCAAUGAAGGCCAGGGCUAGAUACCAAUACCAAGCUAUCUGCAAGACAAGAGUACCCAAAACAGUGAGCUAUGAAUUGCAACAGCUUCCAGGGUUGAUUGUUAUGCAGCUGUGCUCACUUGCAACUUCUGCCGUCGACGCAGGACGAUUGGUACAUAAACUAAGGUCAGCAACAGCCAUGUGAGAAAGAUGAAAAUUGGGUACCAAGAUUAGCAAUGAGGGAGGAGGUGAAGCUUGCGGCAGCCAUGGAGAAGGCGACGAGCUGGCCGAGGAGGAGCACGAGCAGCAGGCCCCAUACGUCCUUUUUGACCUCCAUGAGUUCGAGCACCGCUCACCGAAGCCCCGGACCAGAUCAGUUGCAGAAGCAAGAUUUAUACGCUUGCAAAAGGAGGACGGAGGCACGGAGCAGAAGAAUGGAAGGUAGAGUGCAGAACUGGCAGAUGGAUCGCGCGCAAUAAACUAACCCGCGGGUGGUUAGGAGGAUCAUGUGCCCUCACCAUUGAUUUAAAAAUAAAUAAAAAAUCAUGUGCCCUCUCUAUUGA